rnacentral:rRNA from 1 species
GACGAACGCUGGCGGCGUGCUUAACACAUGCAAGUCGAACGGAAAGGCCCUGCUUUUGUGGGGUGCUCGAGUGGCGAACGGGUGCGUAACACGUGAGUAACCUGCCCUUGACUUUGGGAUAACUUCAGGAAACUGGGGCUAAUACCGGAUAGGAGCUCCUGCUGCAUGGUGGGGGUUGGAACGUUUCGGCGGGUGGGGAUGGACUCGCGGCUUAUCAGCUUGUUGGUGGGGUAGUGGCUUACCAAGGCUUUGACGGGUAGCCGGCCUGAGAGGGUGACCGGCGACAUGGGGACUGAGAUACGGCCCAGACUCCUACGGGAGGCAGCAGUGGGGAAUAUUGUACAAUGGGCGGAAGCCUGAGGCAGAAACGCCGCGUGCGGGAUGACGGCCUUCGGGUUGUAAACAGCUUUAGCCUGUGACGAAGCGUGAGUGACGGUAAUGGGUAAAGAAGCACCGGCUAACUACGUG